GGGGAGGGAUCUUUUUUUACUAUUACAAACAAGGAAAUUAUCGACUCCAUCCGACUAGUUCCGGGUUCGAGUCCCGGGCAACCCA
rnacentral:tRNA from 1 species